AUUGAACGCUGGCGGCAGGCCUAACACAUGCAAGUCGAGCGGUAACACAGGGAGCUUGCUCCCGGGUGACGAGCGGCGGACGGGUGAGUAAUGUCUGGGAAACUGCCUGAUGGAGGGGGAUAACUACUGGAAACGGUAGCUAAUACCGCAUAACGUCGCAAGACCAAAGAAGGGGACCUUCGGGCCUCUUGCCAUCAGAUGUGCCCAGAUGGGAUUAGCUAGUAGGUGGGGUAACGGCUCACCUAGGCGACGAUCCCUAGCUGGUCUGAGAGGAUGACCAGCCACACUGGAACUGAGACACGGUCCAGACUCCUACGGGAGGCAGCAGUGGGGAAUAUUGCACAAUGGGCGCAAGCCUGAUGCAGCCAUGCCGCGUGUAUGAAGAAGGCCUUCGGGUUGUAAAGUACUUUCAGCGGGGAGGAAGGUGUUGAGGUUAAUAACCUCAGCAAUUGACGUUACCCGCAGAAGAAGCACCGGCUAACUCCGUGCCAGCCGCCGCUGUAAUAC
rnacentral:rRNA from 1 species